CUGGAUGCGUGGAAGGCCGCUCCCCGAAAGGGGGGAGGAAAGUCCGAGCACCGCUGAACCACGGUGGUGGGUAACGCCCACCGACGCCGCUCGCGAGGGCGGCGCCCGGGAAAGUGCCACAGAAAACAGACCGCCGGCCUGCGAGCCCCCGUCAAAGGACCCCUGGGCCGGUAAGGGUGAAACGGUGCGGUAAGAGCGCACCGCGGCGGCUGCGAAGCCGCCGGCACGGCAAACCCCACCGGGUGCAAGGCCAAGCAGCGACCGGCACGGUUCAGGCCCAUGGUCGCGGGUAGGCCGCUUGCCCUGAGCAUUGUCGAAGGGCGGAGCGCCGCAGCAAUGCGGCGUCCAGAGAAAUGGCCUUCAUCGUCCGUCCCGGGCGCCCCCCGGACGGACGGAACAGAACUCGGCUUAUAACGCAUCCAGCCGG
rnacentral:RNase_P_RNA from 1 species